rnacentral:rRNA from 1 species
GUGGGGAAUAUUGGACAAUGGGGGGAACCCUGAUCCAGCCAUGCCGCGUGUGUGAAGAAGGCCUUUUGGUUGUAAAGCACUUUAAGCGAGGAGGAGGCUACCGAGAUUAAUACUCUUGGAUAGUGGACGUUACUCGCAGAAUAAGCACCGGCUAACUCUGUGCCAGCAGCCGCGGUAAUACAGAGGGUGCAAGCGUUAAUCGGAUUUACUGGGCGUAAAGCGCGCGUAGGUGGCCAAUUAAGUCAAAUGUGAAAUCCCCGAGCUUAACUUGGGAAUUGCAUUCGAUACUGGUUGGCUAGAGUAUGGGAGAUGAUGGUAGAAUUCCAGGUGUAGCGGUGAAAUGCGUAGAGAUCUGGAGGAAUACCGAUGGCGAAGGCAGCCAUCUGGCCUAAUACUGACACUGAUGUGCGAAAGCAUGGGGAGCAAACAGGAUUAGAUACCCGAGUAGUCC